rnacentral:rRNA from 1 species
UGGGUUCAGAACGUCGUGAGACAGUUCGGUCCCUAUCCGUCGUGGGCGUAGGAAAUUUGAGAGGAGCUGUCCUUAGUACGAGAGGACCGGGAUGGACAUACCUCUGGUGUACCAGUUGUCGUGCCAACGGCAUAGCUGGGUAGCUAUGUGUGGACGGGAUAAGUGCUGAAAGCAUCUAAGCAUGAAGCCCCCCUCAAGAUGAGAUUUCCCAACUUCGGUUAUAAGAUCCCUCAAAGAUGAUGAGGUUAAUAGGUUCGAGGUGGAAGCAUGGUGACAUGUGGAGCUGACGAAUACUAAUCGAUCGAAGACUUAAUCAA